rnacentral:tRNA from 1 species
GCCUUCGUUGUGUAAUGGUCAGCACACUGAGCCGGUAUUUCAGAGGUCCGUGGUUCGAUCCCCGGCGAAGGCG